AUGGAACUCAGUUCAUCAGAUUUAGUGGCAAGCACCUUUACCCGUGGAGCCUUCUCGCCAGCUCAGUGUUGCUUUUUUUUUUUUUCUUUCUUUCCGGAGCUGGGGACUGAACCCAGGGCCUUGUGCUUGCUAGGCAAGCGCUCUACCACUGAGCUAAAUCCCCAACCCUCAGUGUUGCUUUUUAAUAUGUGUUGUGAAGCCACAUUCAGAAUAGUUUUCAUGCCAAGAGUAUACCCUGUGAGUAAUGGAAAUGUGUGUUGCUGUGUAUACACUUUAUCUUUGUGCACAGCUUCCGGAAGUGUGACCAGACCGGGCGGUGGGAUGGAAGACCCAUUACAGAGCUUCACAUGCUGUUCCAGGCCUGUUCUAACAGGAUACCAUUGCUUUAAUGAGAGAGAGAGAGAGAACAUGAAAUCUGUGUGGUGAGGAUCUGGGAGAAAAUAGAAGAAGGUAAAAACUAUGAUCACAAUAAAUUGUUUGAAAAAAAUUUUAAUUAAAAAUUUUAAUUAAAAGAUUUGUUGUUGUUUUUUUUAUGUGCACAUGUGUUUUUGUGUGAAAG
rnacentral:lncRNA from 1 species